CACUAUUGUAUCUUUUUUAUUUUUUUUAAUGGUACCCAUGAAAUUUUAUUAAAAAAGGUAUCUCCAUCACUUUUUUGGAUCGCUAAAGUCCAAAAAAGAAUGAAAACCGCAUGAAAAAACGCCAAAGUUUUUCUUGGAAAUUUUAUUCACUCCCUUAGACUUCAAUGGGAGAAAAACGCCAUGAUUUUGACAAAAAAAAAAUGCCAGUGGCUCAACAUGCUGCGAUUACCAACGAUCUGAAAAACGCCAAAAGUGAGUGGAAAAAACGCCAAAAGUAUAAAAAAAACGCUAAAGUAAAAAAUGCCAAGUGGAAUAAGAAUUUUGCGAUUUCUCAUUGAUUUACAGCUGACAUCUGGCCGCAGCAUUUUUUAGCCGAAAAAACGCCAUGCGGCAGAAUUUGAGUUUUUCUUGGUGUUUUUGCCCAAAAAAAACAAGUGGAAUUCCAACCCAUCUCCAGCUUUUGCAAAACUGCAGCUCCCAACAUGCCCAGACAGCCUUCUGUUGUUUGUGCGCCCUGAAAGUUGUAGUUUACAACAGCUGAAGACACACUGGUUGGGAAACACUGUCCUAGACUGUAGAUAUUUGGUGUAAUGGGAGCGCUCACAUCUGUGCCAACACUGCCCAAACCUGUACGCAAUCUGUAAUCACCUUACAUUAUCAGACCAGGGCACAGAGAGAAGUGGCGUCUUCUUCAUACAUUUGGGGGGCACUCAGGACAGGCGCUCGACUGGUCGUUAAGCUGUUUCUAGGAUGGCAGUUAAAAUGGCUGCUGCAGCAUAACAGUUGUCAUAGCAACUGCUCCUAGCUGGACUGUACUACUACAGGAACAUAUAAACUGCCCCAAAAACACAGUAAAAAUGAUAAAGAUGGUAGCUAUAUGAUUGAAACAAAGAUGGGAAAGUGCUUUGUCUUCUUGCUCUCAUUUCUUUUAAUAUCAUCCAUUUCGCUGCCGUUGACCUGCUAGUUUAUUUUACCCACCAGUCAAUGGUUCAGUCCAGGCUUUUAUUUUCGCUUGGUAAGACUUUGCUGAUUGGUUAAUUUUACCUCUAUACUGAAAUGUAAUUAACCUCUUAAGAAUAGGGUCACACAGACAGGGCCGCCAUCAGGGGGGUACAGUAAGGGGCCCGGACCCUCAGGGGGGCCACUUGGCCCCAACACUCUUUCUUGCGAGGAGGGCAGCACACUGUCACUUUAAAAUGGCAGGGGUUGCAGUUGGUAUGAGACAUGCCUGUGCGCGGCUCUCAGUUACCAGCAGGGCCUGCUAGUAGCAGCUGGCCAGUGACGUCGGCUCACGUGUCCCUCCUCUUCCUGCCCAGUUCUGCAAUAGAGGAGCGGAGCAGCAAGCUACACUGCACACAGAUGUUAAGAGAUCCACAUGGCGGUCUUAUCCGGACGGAGAAGAAAAGGAAAGAGGACGCCGCUGAUCAGAAAAUACAUAAUUGAUCAGAAUCCGCUGACAUAGUGAGGAACCAUCUGGGCGUCAAGUUCUGCAGAGAGAAGAUUUAGCUGGAACAAG